CCUACGGGAGGCAGCAGUAGGGAAUUUUCCGCAAUGAGCGAAAGCUUGACGGAGCGACACAGCGUGCAGGAUGAAGGUCUUCGGAUUGUAAACUUCUGUUGUAAGGGAAGAAAGAUUUUAAUAGUAACUGAUUAUAUCUUGACGGUACCUUCUUAGAAAGUGACGGCUAACUAUGUGCCAGCAGCCGCGGUAAUACAUAGGUCACAAGCGUUAUCCGGAAUUAUUGGGCGUAAAGAGGUUGUAGGCGGUUUAUCAAGUCUAGUGUUAAAGCCUGAGGCUCAACCUCAGUCCGCAUUGGAUACUGAUGAACUAGAGUGAUGUAGAGGUAAACGGAAUUCUUAGUGAAGCGGUGGAAUGCGUAGAUAUUAGGAAGAACACCAGCGGCGAAGGCAGUUUACUGGAUAGACACUGACGCUCAAGAACGAAAGCGUGGGGAGCAAACAGGAUUAGAUACCCCAGUAGUC
rnacentral:rRNA from 1 species